rnacentral:misc_RNA from 1 species
UGCUCGGCCUGAUCGAGCUUAUUUCCGAGGUGGCUAAGCUUAUUUCCCUGAGCUUCCGGCUCUUCGGCAAUAUCUAUGCCGGUGAGGUGCUCCUCGUCGUCUUUGGUACGCUCUUGCCGCUCUUUAUCCCGCUGUCGGGCCCCUUCUACUUAUUAGAGGUCUUCGUUGGGCUGAUUCAAGCGUUCGUAUUUGCUAUGCUGACUAUCGUGUUCAUCAAGAUCGCUACCAUCGAUCCACAACACUGAUGGUGGUGAUUCGUAUAGGUAAUUUAACUAAGGAGAAUCAUGGAAGUUGAUGCAGCCAAAGCACUGGCCAAAGGCCUCGCCCUGAUUGCCCUUCUCGGC